UGAAUACUCCCUCCGUCCGGAAAUAUUUGUCAUCAAAAUGAAUAAAAGGAGAUGUAUCUACAUGUAUUUUAGUUCUAAAUACAUCUCUUUUUGUCCAUUUUGAUGACAAGUAUUUUCAGACGGAGGGAGUAGAAA
rnacentral:pre_miRNA from 1 species